rnacentral:rRNA from 1 species
GUGGGGAAUAUUGGACAAUGGGCGAAAGCCUGAUCCAGCCAUGCCGCGUGUGUGAAGAAGGUCUUCGGAUUGUAAAGCACUUUAAGUUGGGAGGAAGGGCAGUAAGUUAAUACCUUGCUGUUUUGACGUUACCGACAGAAUAAGCACCGGCUAACUUCGUGCCAGCAGCCGCGGUAAUACGAAGGGUGCAAGCGUUAAUCGGAAUUACUGGGCGUAAAGCGCGCGUAGGUGGUUUUGUAAGUUGGAGGUGAAAUCCCCGGGCUCAACCUGGGAACUGCCUUCAAAACUGCAUGACUAGAGUACGGUAGAGGGUAGUGGAAUUUCCUGUGUAGCGGUGAAAUGCGUAGAUAUAGGAAGGAACACCAGUGGCGAAGGCGACUACCUGGACUGAUACUGACACUGAGGUGCGAAAGCGUGGGGAGCAAACAGGAUUAGAUACCCUAGUAGUCC